rnacentral:rRNA from 1 species
UGGGGAAUUUUGGACAAUGGGCGCAAGCCUGAUCCAGCCAUGCCGCGUGCGGGAAGAAGGCCUUCGGGUUGUAAACCGCUUUUGUCAGGGAAGAAAUCUUCUGAGUUAAUACCUCGGGAGGAUGACGGUACCUGAAGAAUAAGCACCGGCUAACUACGUGCCAGCAGCCGCGGUAAUACGUAGGGUGCAAGCGUUAAUCGGAAUUACUGGGCGUAAAGCGUGCGCAGGCGGUUUUGUAAGACAGAGGUGAAAUCCCCGGGCUCAACCUGGGAACUGCCUUUGUGACUGCAAGGCUUGAGUGCGGCAGAGGGGGAUGGAAUUCCGCGUGUAGCAGUGAAAUGCGUAGAUAUGCGGAGGAACACCGAUGGCGAAGGCAAUCCCCUGGGCCUGCACUGACGCUCAUGCACGAAAGCGUGGGGAGCAAACAGGAUUAGAUACCCUGGUAGUCCACGCCCUAAACGAUGUCAACUGGUUGUUGGGAAGGUUCCUUCUCAGUAACGUAGCUAACGCGUGAAGUUGACCGCCUGGGGAGUACGGCCGCAAGGUUGAAACUUAAAUGAAUUGACGGGGUCAUAGCUGUUUCCU